rnacentral:lncRNA from 1 species
GGGUCCCUUAUGUCGGUGGACUAGGUGGCACACCUGGGUCCCACCAAAGAGGGGUCGGGCGACCCCCUCCCUGUGGGCCCAGGGUGUCACCUGUUGUCCCCUCGAUCUCCUCUUGAUGAUUUUGAUGUUGGCUUUGUCAAAUAAUGUCUUGAAUUUGUUGUUCCUGCAUAAACAAGCUAAGAGUACAAGUGGAACUAGUUAUGGAUAAAAUAUGUUCAUGUCAUGUCAUUUCCCCUUGCAACCGAGGCAUGUUGACGGUGUUUUGUAUGUGGAUUUCUAUGGUAUAUCCACCGUCAACAAGAUCCCCCAAGCUUAACCUUUGCUCGUCCCGAGCAAACAAUCAAACUUAGCCUCGGUGGAUCAGGUAUUGUUACUAUGUUCACAUUUCAAGAGUACCAUGUGUACAACAAAGUUCUUCUCUUUGCAUGAAAAAUUUAGCUAUGUAAACUUACCCCUAUUACCUUAGUCCCUUAUGGGGCUUAUGGAUUUUCCUUUGUCUUAGGUGGUUGAGAGACAGAACAGUUUGACUUGAGCACUAACUUUCUCAUUCUUAGCAAGUUUCAUAUCAGAGGUUUUGUGAUAUUUUCAAAAGAAAGCUUAAAUGUUCCUCUUAUGGUUCUCUCAUGUCACUCAAAUGGUGUAUGAUUCCUCACCAAGGCAUAUGGUAAGAGUUGCCUUCUCUAUUUCAUCCUAUUUCUAAAAGGCUUAUGUGGAGUUCAAGGUAGGGAUGAAAGGAGAUAGCAUACUUACUUUGCAUGUAUUGCGAAGUCAAAGCUCGGAUCCUUGAAGAGAAGUGUCAUACUCCCAGAUCAAGAUGUGCAAGUGUGAUAUAUGGUGGACUAGGUUGCUCCUUUAUUUGAUAGACUCUCUAUGUAUUGAGACAUGGCUAGCAUUUUUUUCUUCUUUUUUUUUCUUUUUUUUUAUAUAUGAGCUUUCAUGUGCUCAAUUUUCUUUUUCUGUGGACUUGCACAUGUCCAUCUUUUUAUUUCAUUUUGCCUAGCCUUUUGAUGUCUCAUUUACCAAAUAAUGCUUAGAGAGAUGUUCUAACAUUUAGAGUAUGGAGCAACCUAUUUAGUGGAUGCGAAAUACAUGUGGUUGCGUACUUCCAGUGUAGAAGCAGCAUAUAUAUAUGUGGUGUGUACGUGAUCUUGAUCUUAGGAGCAUGAAAAGUCUCUUAACAAGGGUCAACAAGACUUGACGACACUCAACCCAAAGCAAAUAGCUUAUGUGGAAAGGUUGCAAUUAUGUAAAGUAGAUAUGGCUGUGGUAGGAAUUCAUCACCAUUGAGGAACAAUUAAGGUUUUGAUCAUUUUAAGAAUAAAUCUCUGAUAAUCAUGCAUGCUUAGAAAAAUAUUAUAGUAGCUCUUGUCUUACUAUCUCAUGUCCCACAACAACUUAGACUUAGUUCUAACACUUGCAACCCACAAAGUUUUUAGGUUCAUGGCAGUUUAAGUGAGCUAAGUGAUCCAUACUUAGUGAAAUACUAAGUUGUAUACUAGGCACUAGAGAAACAUUAACAAGCAACUAGUCAUCAUUUCCAUGAGGGAUAUAAACAUACAUGAAGCAUAUAUGCUAAAGGGAAAUGCUAAUAAAUAUUUUUUUUAAGUAAGAAUGAUAAAAUGCAUGAAAAUAAAUAGGAUAGAAUACUUACCUUAGUGGGGGAGAGGAUCUCCCCCAAGCUAGAUCUUCGCUCACUGUGGUGGCGGAAAAUUCUGGUACCAUCCAGCCCAGCGUUGUGCGUCUUCCUCUCGCACACGUCGGAUAUGUUGGCCGUUUUGUAACGCCAGUUGCAAUGUUGCUUCUUGCCCAAUCUGCAAUUCGCCCAUGUCAUUAAUGAGACUGUCCAUACCUGUGGGCUGGUGACGCCUAGCCUUGUCCCUUGGGCGUGGAGUGCGUUGUGGAGGUAGACCCAUGGAGUCUGAAGCAUCUACUGACAUCGCUUCAUCGCCCUCUUCAACGUCAUGGUGCGAGGAUCCUCCUUGCUCCAUCUGGGCGGCUUGCAUCAUCCUUCUUGUCACCCUGCG